rnacentral:rRNA from 1 species
UACGUAGGGGGCUAGCGUUGUCCGGAAUCAUUGGGCGUAAAGCGCGUGUAGGCGGCCCGGUAAGUCCGCUGUGAAAGUCGGGGGCUCAACCCUCGGAUGCCGGUGGAUACUGUCGGGCUCGAGUACGGAAGAGGCGAGUGGAAUUCCUGGUGUAGCGGUGAAAUGCGCAGAUAUCAGGAGGAACACCAAUUAGCGAAGGCAGCUCUCUGGGACGGUACUGACGCUGAGGAGCGAAAGCCAGGGGAGCAAACGGG